AUAGAUUAUGGGCAGCUAAAUCCUGAUAACAUAUGAGUUUCUCACCUGGAACCAGUUGGGAAAUUCUUUAAAGCCCCAUCUCCAAAACCUCUGACCAUUAAGCCUACAAGGAAUUCUAGGUACUGGAGAAUAGAUACAAGUGGAGAAGAGGUGCUAUAAAGACGGCACUGCUAAUUUAUCCACACAAGCACAGAGUUCAAAAUACUAUGGCUGUGAG